rnacentral:rRNA from 1 species
GAUUUUUGGUUAAAAAUACUUAAGUGUUACAUUUAUUCUAAGUAAAUUGUUUUGUGUUAAUAAAGGGUGAAAUCAAUUUUUUAUUAUAUAAAUGAUCUUGCUUGAAUAGUAUGACUGAGGUUGUUAAAGUUAAGGCAUGGACCAGGAUUAGAGACCCUGUUACACUUUACUUUAAGUUUAAAUACCUGGGUAGUAAGCAGUUAUAAUCUUGAAACUUAAAGGAUUUGGCGGUAAUUUAGUCUAGUUAGAGGAACCUGUCCUGUAAUCGAUAAUCCACGAAAAAUCUUACUUUGUCUUGAAGACUUCAGCUUAUAUACCGUCAUUAUUAGAUAACUUUAAAAAAAUGUUGGAGUUAUUGUAAUAGUUUUAAGUUAAUAUAUUAGAUCAAGGUGUAGCUAAUGAUAAAGUAGAGAUGGGUUACAAUAAUACUAGUUUAAUAAUACGGAUCAAAAGCAGAAAUAGCUUUAGUGAAGGAGGAUUUAAAUGUAAAGAUAUUUUAACAUGAUAUCUUGAUUAUAGCUCUAGAUUAUGUACACAUCGCCCGUCGCUCU